rnacentral:lncRNA from 1 species
AUAACAAACAUAAAGGGAAAGAGGAAAGACUCCUGAUAUACGUUCUCUGGGUUUCUUAGAAAACAUGGAAUUGUUCCUUUGGCCACAGACAUGCGAUUCUACAAAAAAGAUGAUAUUGUAGAUAUCAAAGGAAUGGGUACUGUUCAAAAAGAAAUGUCCACAAAUGUUACCAUGGCAAAAUUGGAAGACUGCGAGCAUGCUAUUAGCAUUGUUGUACACAAACAAGUUAAGGGCAAGAUUCUUGCCAAGAGAAUUAACAUGUGUAUUGAGCAUAUUUUUUAAGCACUCUAAGAACUGAGGUAGCUUCAUGAAAUGCAUGAAGGAAAAUGAUCAGAAAAAUAAGCCAAAGAGAAAGGUUUCUGGGUUCAGCUGAAGCACCAGCCUGCUCUAUCCAGAGACGCGUACUUUAUAAGAACCAGUGGAAAGAUGCCUGAGCUGCUGGAACCUAUUCCCUGUGAAUUCAUGGCA